GACCACAUAGCUCAGUUGGCAGAGCAUUGGACUAGUAUCCCAAUGGUCGCGGGUUCGAUUCCCACCGUGGCCA
rnacentral:tRNA from 1 species